GAAAGUGCACUAUCAGACCCCUUGAGUCUGAACUCCUAAGAGUACCCGGGAACAUUGUGGUCCUUCGUCCGAAGUGAUCUGGUUCCUGCCAAGAUCUUUCAGAACAGACAACGCAAGUCUUACAGAAACCACUGAACCAGAGAUACACAGAAACCACUAUCAGCUGACCAUAACGGUGAAUCCUUACAACCAGGAUAUCAUGAACUGAUAAGAAAUUGGGAUCGGAGGAAAUUGGGAGAACAGUGGAAGGAGCCCUUCCCAGUAUUACUGACUACACCUACCUACAGUGAAGGUCGAAAAUGUUACUCAUUGGAUCCACCUAACAUAUUGCAAAAUAAUUGGAAACUGGAAAAAGGAAGUAUGAACUUGGAUGUCCUCCUGCAAGACUGGAGGUAAAAGGAAGCCAUAC